rnacentral:rRNA from 1 species
UAAUACGGAGGGAGCUAGCGUUGUUCGGAAUUACUGGGCGUAAAGCGUACGUAGGCGGUUAUUCAAGUCAGAGGUGAAAGCCCGGGGCUCAACCCCGGAACGGCCUUUGAAACUAGGUAGCUAGAAUCUUGGAGAGGUCAGUGGAAUUCCGAGUGUAGAGGUGAAAUUCGUAGAUAUUCGGAAGAACACCAGUGGCGAAGGCGACUGACUGGACAAGUAUUGACGCUGAGGUACGAAAGCGUGGGGAGCAAACAGGAU